UCAAAGACACAAAUAAAUGAAAAAACAUUAUAUAUGUACUCAUGGACUAGAAGAUUUAAUAACUUUAAGAUGUUAGGCUGGGCACAGUGGCUCAUGCCUGUAAUCCCAGCACUUUGGGAGGCUGAGGUGGGUGGAUCACAUGAGGUUGGGAGUCCAAGACCAGCCUGAUCAACAUGGAGAAACCCUGUCUCUACUAAAAAUACAAAAAUUGGCCGGACAUGGUAGCACAUGCCUAUAAUCCCAGCUACUUGGGAGGCUGAGGCAGGAGAAUUGCUUGAACCCGGGAGGUGGAGGUUGCAGUGAGCCAAUUUUGUGCCAUUGCACUCCAGCCUGGGCAACAAGAGUGAAACUCCGUCUCAAAAAAAAAAGAUGUCAAAACUCUUAAAAAUGUCAACAUCAGUAACCAGUAGAGAAAUGCAAGUCAAAACCACAAUUACGUAUUACCUCACAUCCAUUAAGAUGGCUACUAACGGCUGGGUGCGGUGGCUCAUGCCUGUAAUCCCAGCACUUUGAGAGGCUAAGGUGGGUGGAUCAAGAGGUCAAGAGAUCAAGACCAUCCUGGCCAACAUGGUGAAACCCCAUCUCUACUAAAAAUACAAAAAUUAGCUGGGCAUGGUAGCGUGUGCCUGUAGUCCCAGCUACUCGGGAGGCUGAGGCAGGAGAAUCACUUGAACCUGGGAGGCGGAGGUUGCAGUGGGCCAAGAUCCCGCCACUGCACUCCAGCCUGGAGACACAGUGAGACUCCGUCUCAAAAAAAAUAAAUAAAUAAAAAGAUGGCUACUUACAAAAAACCUCAGGAAAUAAGUGUUGAUGAGGGUGUACAGAAAUUGUAACUCUUGUUAAAAAUAUAAUUACCAUAUGACCUGGCAAUUAUACUUCUGGGUAUAUAACCAAAAGAAAGGGUCUUGAAGAGCUAUUUGUACACCCAUGUUCAUAGCAGUACUAUUCACUACAGCCAAGAGGUGGAAGCAACCCAAGUGUCCCUUGACCGAUGAAUGGAUGAACAAAAUGUGGUAUAUAUCCAUACAAUGGAAUAUUAUUUAGCCUUAAAAAGGAAAGUAGUUCUGAUGCACACUACAAUGUGGAUGAACCUCAAAGACAUUAUGGUAAGUGAAAAAAGACAAAUGUCAUAGGAUUCCACUUAUAUGAGCUAUCUAUGAAUAGUCAAAUUCAUAGAAACACAAAGUAGAAUGGUGGUUGCCUACGUCUGAGUUGAGGGGAAAAUAGGGAGUUGUUGCUUAAUUGGUAUAAAGGUUUGCAAGAUGAAAAUGUUCCGGAGACUGGCUGCACAAUAAUGUGAAUUGUGACAGUACUGAAUUACAUACUUAAAAAUGAUUAAGAUAGUAAAUUUUAUAUUGUGAAUAUCUGACCACAAUUUUUAAAAUGCUAAUAAAAACCAAACAAAACCAAAAAUAAAAAUAAAUAAAAUGGAGGAGUGUAGGAGGGAGGUGGGUGUAAUUAUAAAAAUUGUUGGCGGGGUGCGGUGGCUCACACCUGUAAUCCCAACACUUUGGGAGGCUGAGGCGGGUGGAUCAUGAGGUCAGGAGAUUGAGACCAUCCUGACUAACACGGUGAAACCCCGUCUCUAUUAAAAAUACAAAAAAAAAAAAUUGCCAGGCAUGGUGGUGGCAGGCGCCUGUAGUCCCAGCUACUUGGGAGGCUGAGGCAGGAGAAUGGCAUGAACCUGGGAGGCGGAGCUUGCAGUGAGCCGAGAUCGCGCCUGUUCCAGCCUGGGCAACAGAGCGAGACUCUGUCUCAAAAAAAUAAAAAUAAAAAAUAUAUAAAAAUUGUUGGAACUGUUCAGCAUCUCGACUGCAGUGGUAGAUACAUGAACCUGCACAGGUGACAAAAUUGUAUAGAACUAAACAUACACACGCACAAAUAAGUACAAACAAAACUGGGGAAAUAAAUUUUAAAAAAUAGGUAGCAUAUGUCAAUGUCAACUAUAGUUUUGCAAAAUGUUAACAUUGGGAGAAACUGGACUAAGUCCAGAAGUACCUUCUCAGUAUUUCAUACAAUUCGGUGUGAAUCUAUAAUCAUCUCGAUAAGAAAUAAACACACACACACACACACACACACACAAGGCCUGUUUUUAAAAAACGAUAUAUAUGUGUGUGUACUAAUAUAUAAGGCAGUAGAGGUAAAUAUCCAAACACCAGAGGUUAGGUCAUAAUAAAAAUGAUUCUUUUCAUGUGCAGGUGACAAUAUGCACACUCUAUAACAAGCAAUCCCUCUGGAGAAACUCAUCAGCCAAACACACUAAUGUGACCUAUAUGCAAGUAACUCCUAUGGCUGACUGCCUUCUAGACACCUCACCCUGAUCUUCUCUAUAACGGUCUGAUCUUUCCAAGAAACCUGCUCUACCCACUGUCUGCCCCAACACAGUUAAGGCCAGACCUUGAGAGGAGAGGCCAACAAUCCUUGCACAAUGGCCACCCCGCCCCCACGACUUUUCUGACCUCAUCUCCUACUAACCCCCACCAUCGCUGGUCUUCCUCUUUUCUUGGACUGUACCAGGUGCGCUCCUAUCUUGGGCCUUGUACUGACUCUUCCUUGCCUCCUUCAGGUCUUUGCUCAAUGUCACCCUCACAUUGAGGCCUACUCUAACAACUUUAAUUUAAAGGAUUAUUUCCCCAAUGUGGCACAACAAAUCCCCUUAGUCCUGAUCUAUUUAUUUCCUCGGGAAUUUCUUACAUAUUAAUUUCCUUUAUUGUAUGUCUGUCUACUCUGCCCACUAGAAUGUAAACUCCAGUAAGUAGAUCAGCUCUUUUGUCUGUUUUAUUCACUAAUUCAUCCUCAGGACCCAGAGCUGUGGCUUGGCACAUAACAGGCACAACAAUAAAAACUUGUUGCUGUUGAAUGGCUGGAGAAAGCUCAUGACAGAAGCACUACAUUCAAACACCUUCAGUAUCACUGGUGUAACAAUCUUUGGAAGGCAGGCUCCUGAUCUACUGCUGUGGGGACUCAGAUUUCGCCAACUGCCUGCAGGUGGGAAGCACACCCUUGGCUGGUUCACAGCCAUCUGCUGCUGUUAUCUCUACCACUUUCGACCACAAAAACUUAUCCCCAUCUUCUUUAGUAAGCAUGACACAAUGACAUCUCAUAGGUGUCAGAUGCCUAAGAGAUUGAAAACAUAGCACAGGAAGGAAGCUGUUGCACCAUACAACCAUUGUGUGUGUGUGUGUGUGUGUGUGUGUGUGCACGCGCCACAAACUAAAGUGGAAAAGUGUCACAGGUAUAUCAUUUAGGAGACCUUAAUCACUUCUCCUGAAGCAUCUGCCAACAUAUAAUCAACAAAGUUUUGAGAUUGGGCGCAGUGGCUCACUCCUGUAAUCCCAGCACUUUGGGAGGCCAAGGCAGGCAGAUCACUUGCUCUGAGGAAUUCGAGACCACUUUAGGCAACAUGGUGAACCCCAUCUCUACAAAUUAAAAACAAAAAACAAAAAUUACCCAGUAGUGGUGGUGCAAGCCUAGAUGGAGUCUUGCUCUGUCACCCAGGCUGGACCGCAGUGAUGCGACCUCAGCUCACUGCAACCUCCCACUCUGGGUUUCAAGCAAUUCUCCUGCCUCAGCCUCCCGAGUUGCUGGGACUACAGGUACAUGCCACCACACCUGGCUAAUUUUUGU
rnacentral:lncRNA from 10 species